UGGCUCAGGACGAACGCUGGCGGCGUGCCUAAUACAUGCAAGUCGAGCGGACAGAAGGGAGCUUGCUCCCGGAUGUUAGCGGCGGACGGGUGAGUAACACGUGGGUAACCUGCCUGUAAGACUGGGAUAACUCCGGGAAACCGGAGCUAAUACCGGAUAGUUCCUUGAACCGCAUGGUUCAAGGAUGAAAGACGGUUUCGGCUGUCACUUACAGAUGGACCCGCGGCGCAUUAGCUAGUUGGUGGGGUAAUGGCUCACCAAGGCGACGAUGCGUAGCCGACCUGAGAGGGUGAUCGGCCACACUGGGACUGAGACACGGCCCAGACUCCUACGGGAGGCAGCAGUAGGGAAUCUUCCGCAAUGGACGAAAGUCUGACGGAGCAACGCCGCGUGAGUGAUGAAGGUUUUCGGAUCGUAAAGCUCUGUUGUUAGGGAA
rnacentral:rRNA from 1 species